CCUAGCAUAAAUUGUCUCAGCUGUAUCAAUUUGUUUGCCUGUAUGAAAAGUGUUCACAUUUACAGCUUUGUUUCUGCUAGCUUGCAGGAAAUGUAACUUACAUAAAUGGUUGAAGACAGCCUAUUGGCCUUCAUGAGACUCAGAUAAAUGACCAGAGGAUCACACCUGUUGACAACAAACAAAGGUUUAACUACUGAAUUUUCAGUCAGAAAUGAUCACACCACCUGGUUGAAGUACCUGUGUCCAUAUGCAAGUCAACAAAGCAGAGAGGAAACACCCGAUUGACAACAUGCGAGUCUCAAUUUCAACCUGUGACUGGGAAGACUACAACCAUCCUGAGCAACGUCUGAUCUCAGCGACUUGUGACUCUCAACCCAGAACAAGAAUCCUUUUAUCACCAUUUUGUCUUCUACAAUAUGUUAUCUCUUAUGUGGACACAUACUGUU